UAUGAAUGUGGAGAGGCGUGGAAUUCAAUUUCGAGCAAAAAGAAAAAAAUUUUACCUUUUCAGUGUCGGCGGUGGCGACGGUGUGGUGGCGACGGUGUCCUUUCGAUGGCUGAGUUUUCCUCCGACCUAACUUCUUCUUCUCCGAUCAGAGGUAUCGGCUAGGGUUUUUGAAGUCAACCAUAAAAAUCUCUCUUCCCCUUAUCUUGACCGU
rnacentral:lncRNA from 1 species